rnacentral:rRNA from 1 species
UACUCGAGUGGCGAACGGGUGAGUAACACGUGGGUGAUCUGCCCUGCACUUCGGGAUAAGCUUGGGAAACUGGGUCUAAUACCGGAUAGGACCGCACUUUAGUGUGUGUGGUGGAAAGUUUUUUCGGUGUAGGGUGAGCUCGCGGCCUAUCAGCUUGUUGGUGGGGUAAUGGCCUACCAAGGCGGCGACGGGUAGCCGGACUGAGAGGUUGGUCGGCCACAUUGGGACUGAGAUACGGCCCAG